ACUUCUCCCAGCAGCUGGAUAAACAUAUUCGACGACAGACCUUGGCAAGAACUGCAAAGAUGCUCUUGACAAUGGCAUGAAUAAAUAUUAGGUGUUAUCUAGAAUUCACCACAUUUGAGGUCGUGCGCAAAGCCAGAUCAAAGAGAAUGCAGAACAAUAGAAGCAAGAAGGAUCCCAAAUAUAGUGUUGCAACUCUCCUCACCUGCAGGAAGGGCUAUACAUUUCCGAAGACAGAGAAGAGGAAAAAGGAGGGCCAUGGAAAAAGGCAAGAAGGUCCCGUGACCAAGAAAUGACCAGCUCCACAGAGGAAAUGCAGGGCCACUCUCCGACUGGACCCCACUGUGCACAAGGUGAGAAUUCAGCCUGUUUAUCAGGGUUUCCCUUAUUAAAGUAUAUGUCAAAAAGGCCUGGUAGAAAUGUAACUCUGUGAUGUUAAUUUUGGAAAGUCUCAUCUAGAACUUUCUGGGAAGUAUUUGAAAGCACAGUUGUGGAAUCAUUUGAAGACUCAAACAUAUAAAUUAAACACUCUUCUUGGAUACAGCAGUUAGAAUAUGGAACAGAUAGGGUCUACAUUGGAGAAAUGAGAGAUGUGGCAAGUGCUUAGCCUCUCUGAGACUCAGUCUCAAUGUCUCCAUCAGGGACAGCUAGCUAGCUCACGGAAUUAUUGUGAGGGUUCACUGUUAUAAUUUAUUCCAAGGUCCACUGCAGCACCGAGGACAUAGGUGGCACUCAAGAAGCAGUGGCCAGUAGUAUUCUCUGCUAAAAUAUUUGCCACCUCAGCCACUUUGAUUCUGCUCCAGAGGGCUUUUUCGCUCAUCCCAUUGGCGACACAAGGCAGGUUAACUAAAGAUACUCUCACCUAAUCUAAAAAUUCAAGACAUCAGUCCACAAAAUACCAGAAUCACCAUGGAGGCAGCUGUUUAGCACUUUGGAUAGUCUAUUUCUCCCCCUAAAAACAGCCUACUUAAAACAGGGGAGAGUUAAGGUUCCAGGAUCUUACUCCUGAGAUUUUUUAUUUAAAGAACACCCCAUCUUUACUCGCAGCUGAGAGGCUAAGAUUAAAAAUUAGCCACUGUAUAGUAGCUGAGCAGUGACAAUUUUUCAUAAAGGUUUUUAGUACACAUUUGGGAUUAUAAUUUCAAUAUUAUGCAAAUGCAUUUUAUGGAUCUAUAAUACAGAAUGUGUACUGGCGUUAAUGUGCAUUAGCAGGCGAGAAGAAAAGGCUCCAAAUGAGCCAUUUUGGUGUCUGCUUUCAACAUGUAUUAUGAAUAAUAAGUAAAAUGUUCUGGUUUAGAACAAAUAAUAUAAAAUCUGAAUUCUUCUUGAUGUACAUCAGUGACAAAGCCCUACGCAACUCCCAUGGAAUUAUUCCAUUGGACACAAUUUAAAACUGGCUCUUAAACAAUAUAUUCCUGUUUCUGGCUUCUCUUCUUGAAUGAGAUGUGAAAGUAAAAUAAAUAUAUUUAAUAUGAAUACGGGAUAGUUCCCCCCAUUGCUCAAAAUCAGGCAUGAACUAGAUGAAGGCAUUGGGAAGGCUGAAACACCAUAGUGGUCAAGAGAGUGGCCCAGGAUACUUGUAAUUUGAGAGGCUCUGAGUAUUGAAAAGUGAAGAAGCAUCUAAAUAGGGUUAUAUAACUUGCAUAUUUUCAAUGAAUAAAAUUAACAAAUAUAAUGCCUUUAACACAAAAUAUUUAAUACAAGAUGACUGUAUUAUUCUGAAGAUAUUUAAAUGAUGUGUAAGUAAUAUUUCUUAAUGUAAUGUGCUGCAAGCUUUGUUCCAAAAUGGGAACUUGAGUUGAAAUUUGUCUGAUGUCUAUUUUCUUUCAGCCUUGUCAGAGUGUUUCUGUGACUGCAGAUUAGAAUAAAAUUCUCACAAACUAAUUUGAGGCUUUUCGUAAAGGCAGAGGACUGAGCCAAACAACUAGCUUCUCAUGAUAGAGCCCCAAAAUGUUUCCUUUUUAAUUAAUAUUUCCAUGUUGCAAUUUUGCAUGUACAGAAGGUGGUAGCUGGUUAUUUUAGUAGUAAUUCAAACUUUCUAUUUGCAUUGAUUUAGUUAAGACUUUCAGAUCUAUUGACCCUGUUUCUUGAAUGCAUGUUUCACACCUGCCCCAUUCUUGGGCAGCCUGCAGGAAUACAAGAUCACACUGUCCAAUGAGUAUGGACUAAGCAUUCAGCUGAGUAACAAUAAUACAAUCAUCUUGUCUCUCAAACAGGUGCCCUUAACUUAAUGUUUUUUAAAAUGCCACCACGUCCAUGACAUCUUCAAAAUGAUACUAAAAAUAUCCAUGCGAUGAGUUCUGUGUGUGUUAAGUGUUUUAUAUGCAUUAUCUCAAUUGACUUCCAAAGCAACCUCACAAGGUCAGUUUUACAAUCCCCAUGAAAUGGUUGAAGAAUUUGGAGUCUAAAAAGACUAAGUAAUUUGUACAAAAUCACAAUUAUACAGGUCUAAUUUUGCAACCCAAACUCUUGACCAGUAUAUAACCCUGAAUCCAGUAUUAAUGUAGUAGAUAAUUGUCUUGGCUUAAUUUAUCAUAUAAGUUAUAGAAAUGGUGUUUUGUCCUUACUCUGACAUGGGGACUAUAAUUGACACUAAAAUCUGAAUCAAUUUCAACCAGUCAUUGCUUCACUUCACUACUUGUCUACAUUGCUGCAGUUGGUUGCUGCUUUCCAUUUCCCCCGAUGCUUUUCCAUUCGAGAUGGAGGUCUGUGGAAGGAAAGAUGGAUACAGCAAGAGGGUCUAUCCAAGAACCCAAUAAAUAUGUACUGCAUAAAUAAAUCAGAUGUUUUAAAUUUGGCAAUUUAAAUUCAGCAAAAAGUCUUUGACAACCUGUGGAGUGUAAGCUAUGGUUUCUAUCCUUGCAACCUUAAAAUUUCAAAAAGCCCCAAAUUCAAGCUUAUCAGUAGCAAGGAAGCCCUUCCAAAUAUUAACUUACAAUCAAUAUUGGAAAAAACUGAGUAGUAUAUUGUGUCCUAUUUUGAAAACAAGCUAUUUGCCAUGUGUAGAUAAGAUUCCUACACUAAAGAUAUCUUUUUAAUAGUUGAAAUAUGAGAUGCCGAGUAAUAAAACUUGAAGUACAGUGGAGCAGCUCUGAGAGAACAAGUGGCACAUUGCCUUGAAAUAAUACUCUCAACGCCAUUUGCUGAGUCUUCUAUGCUCUUGGCCCUUUGCACAAUCUCACUUAAUCUUCACUGCACCCUGUAAGGUAAAUAUUAUUAUCUUCAUUUUACAGAUGAGGAAAUUGAAGCUUACAUAAAUUGUCUGAGGUCACACAGUUAAUAAGUGGUUGAAUGUGGAUUUAAUUCGAGGUCUGCUUUAUUUCAAAGUGAUUCAGUGAGUGAGACAGAGAGAAACAAAGAGAAGACAGUGGUUUUUAAAGAAAGAAUGAAUCUCAAUUUUCUGAAACCCUAUAGCAAUUCCUGCCUUUCUUGUGGCUCUUACCAUAUUCUGCUGUUAUUUCUGGAUUUCUUAUAUAACCUUUACUGAAUUAUAAGCUAUUCUAUUUGAGAGAAGAGACCACACACAAACCAUUUCUGUAUUCCCCCAGGACCUUGUUCAGUGCCUGGAACAAAGUAGGUAUUCAAGAUACCUUUCACUUAUUCCUCAUAUAUUUGCUGGGUGUGGUUAAGCCCAGUAAAGAAGACAAGUCAUGCCUUCCAGGAGCUUCUAGCUCAGGGGAGAAAGUGAUUGAAGACCCAGUGUUCUAAACUGGGUGUGGCACCACAGUGAUGGGAAGUAGGGGAAGCCAAGGGGAAGCUGACUGACUGGUGGGCUCAACCAAGGUUUCCCGAGGAAGAGGUCAUCCAAAACCAUUCUUGAAGCUUCAGUAAGAGCCAAGCAAAGAGGGUGGGGAAAGCCUCACAAAGCGAGAAGGAUCAGGAAUGCACAAAGGCCCUGAAAUUAGAGAUAAGCACAAAGCCUGUUUCCAAGGAUUACAAAUCACCUGGAGAUUACUGGAGGACAAGAGAAAGGGGAGAAACAGCAAGACAGAAGGUGGCAAGGUAUCCGCUGUGAAGUCUAGAAGGACUGUGUACACCAUGGUAAAGUAUUUCUCUAUCCUGAUCUUUCUGGGGAGGGUUUAUGCAGAGGAGAGGCAAGACAAGGCAUAUAUUUGAGAAAGAGGAUCAUUAGCUGAAUUGUGGAGAACAGACUCGAAGAGGAUGCUACUGGUUGCAGGGAACAGGAAAGAAAACCAAGGAAGCAAUCACUAAAGCCAGUGGGAGGGAGGGUCUUGCCAUUAGAGAAGAGAAGGCCAUUUUGUAUACACAGCUGACGCUUGAACAACACAGGUUUGAACUGUGAGAGUCCACUUAUAUUUGGAAUUUUUUCAAUAAAAGUUACAUGGAGUGUGCCUGCCUCUCCUGCCUCCUCUUCCACCCCCGCCACCCUUGAGACAGCAAAACCAACCAUUCCUCUUCCUCCUCUUCCUCAGCCUGCUCAAUGUGAAGAUGACGAGGAUGAAAACCUUUAUGAUGAUCUACUCCUAUUUAUGUGGACUUGCUCUGGAUUAGGGAUGAGAAGACCUGACUCUACUGUUUUCUUGAUAAGUGACCUUGAACCAGACACAUGUGCUCAAGUUCCAUAUCUGUAAAAUGAAGAUACCUGGCCUUCCUACUUCACAAGGUUCUUUUGAAGAUCAAAUGUAAUACUGCAUAAUAAAGUGACUCAUAAAUUC
ensembl:lncRNA novel transcript